ACGGGGGGUGCAAGCGUUAAUCGGAAUUACUGGGCGUAAAGCGUGCGCAGGCGGUUUGGUAAGACGGAUGUGAAAUCCCAGGGCCCAACCUUGGAACUGCAUUGGUAACUGCCGGAAUUGAGUAUGUGAGAGGGGAGUGGAAUUCCGCGUGUAGGGGUGAAAUCCGUAGAUAGUCGAAGGAAUACCAGUGGCGAAGGCGGCUGACUGGGACAGUACUGACGCUGAGGCGCGAAAGCGUGGGGAGCAAACAG
rnacentral:rRNA from 1 species